rnacentral:rRNA from 1 species
UAGGGAAUCUUCGGCAAUGGACGGAAGUCUGACCGAGCAACGCCGCGUGAGUGAAGAAGGUUUUCGGAUCGUAAAGCUCUGUUGUAAGAGAAGAACGAGUGUGAGAGUGGAAAGUUCACACUGUGACGGUAUCUUACCAGAAAGGGACGGCUAACUACGUGCCAGCAGCCGCGGUAAUACGUAGGUCCCGAGCGUUGUCCGGAUUUAUUGGGCGUAAAGCGAGCGCAGGCGGUUAGAUAAGUCUGAAGUUAAAGGCUGUGGCUUAACCAUAGUAGGCUUUGGAAACUGUUUAACUUGAGUGCAAGAGGGGAGAGUGGAAUUCCAUGUGUAGCGGUGAAAUGCGUAGAUAUAUGGAGGAACACCGGUGGCGAAAGCGGCUCUCUGGCUUGUAACUGACGCUGAGGCUCGAAAGCGUGGGGAGCAAACAGGAUUAGAUACCCUGGUAGUCCACGCUGUAAACGAUGAGUGCUAGGUGUUAGACCCUUUCCGGGGUUUAGUGCCGUAGCUAACGUAUUAAGCACUCCGCCUGGGGAGUACGACCGCAAGGUUG